AGAAGUCUUCGGCGCCACCUGGAGUGUCACAAAAGUCGCAAUUGGGGAUCCGAUGGUCUACGUUUUGCCGCCAAAUUAUUGCGCUAAAUUGUUGAUAUUUGUUGACUUGAGAAAGAGAAACGAGAAAUUUAAUCUUGUAGACUUGUCAGCUUAUAUUCAUUGAUUACGAUUUACUGGGAGAUAACACGUGUUUGCAAGAUGACAUCGGUUGAAAUAAGAGAUUGGACACCUGAAUACUAUGUUUCAAAUCAGUUGAACUGUCAGAAGAUUUUAGAAAGUCGGAAUAUACUGACAAAAAUACCUUUAUUAAAUAAUACUCAAUUGCAUGACAUCAAAGACAAAGAGUUGGUGAGAUUCCGAGGGAUGAUUCAGGAUAUGUAUGAUCCUGAGUAUUAUUUGAAGCAAUACGAAGUGAAGAACACAAGCACUGGGGAGAGUAACAUCAGAUGUGGAAUGUACAUGGAUGCAGCUCAAUGUCUGCCGCAUGAAAUGGUUUUGUUAUAUUCCAAGAAUAAUCAAACUUCGGGAAGACAAACUUACGUUGUGAUCUCUAUACCUGGAUUAAAUGACUGGGCAAAGGAAGAGAGCAUGGCCAUACAGACACCCCGUACAACGACACACAAUGACAGUACCAAUAAAAGAAGUCUAGAUGAGAACGACUUAGAGGAAAUGGACUACUCGGAACCUGUUACGAAAAAAGAGAAAGUCUCUGCAGAUAAUAAUGAUGUAAAUAUGACCGAUGCUGAAGGCAGUGCAAAAGUUCAAAGUGUGUUAUCAGAAGAUCAUAUAUUGAACUUUCCGAUACCAAUUGAUGGUGGAAAAACUUGUAUAGUAAAGAUUUACAAUGAUACCGUCUUAAAAUUGAACCAAGUUAUAGAUAUAAUAGGAUUUAUAUCGUUGGAUCCAUCAUUAAGUAUAAUUCAAAGUUCUGAUGAUGAGAUGAAUGAAGCUGAAAUACAAACUCAUAAUCCACCAGCUUCUCUAGUACCUCGAUUACAUGCAGUAAAAAUAAUUGAGCUUACAAAACCUAUAAUUAUAAAUGCUCCAGAAAUUUUAUCUAAAGCACAACUCAUCAGAGGUGAUUUGCACAUAAUAUUGAGUCAGUUGCUGUUUGGAGAUACUUUAGCUGCGGAUUACAUGAUAUGCCACUUGCUUUCUAUGAUGUAUCUGAGAAAAGAAUCGUUUAGUCUCUUUACAUUUCCGCUGAAUAUAACGAAUAUCCCAGUGAAUAAACAUAAAACUUUUCCGAAGGAGUUUUAUAACUUUUUAAAAUUAUUUGUAAAGAAAAGCUACUUUUUGGAAAUUACUUUGGAGAAUUUGAAUGAACUAGCUUUAAUUCCGAAGAAGGACUACGAAUGUAAUAGACUGACAAGUGGUAUUCUCCAACUAAGCGAUAAUACGCACCUUAUAUUAGAUGAGACAGGUUUAAACCCUGGUACACUUACUGCAACUGGCAGAGAGAAUUAUCAAGCUCUCUCCGAUUUACUUAUGUUUCAAAAACUAAAAUACGACUUUCAGUUUUAUACAAUAGAAUACGAAACGGACAUUCCGAUUCUAAUCUUUUCUGAUGCGAAAUCGUUUGUUCCUUGUCCUACGCAAGUUGUUUUAAAUGUUGAUGCAGAAACGGAAAAUUUAUAUAGCCAAGUAACUGAAGCUGCACAUCAGUAUUUGAAAGACGAUAAUCGAUUAGUUAAUAUUCGGCAAUACAUAGAAACCUUGAAGUACACAAGGCCCUUCAAUCUUACCGAAGGAAUGGCAAAAAUCAUUCAAAAAGAUUUUGUGAAGUUGCUCGGAGAACACAGGAAUCAUAUAACUAAGGACGAUCUAAACGCAAUGGUGAUUUUCGCCAAAGUUAUGGCCUUAUCUUGCGGACAAACGACGUUAGAUAUAGACUGCUGGAAGAACGUUGUGCAGUUGGAAAAUGAAAGAAUGAGUAGGCUGUCACAACGUAGAAGUUAGAAACCAUAUUCCUGUAUCAUCUUAUGCACGCGUGUGUCCUGUUUCGUCAAGCGGCUUGAGCGUACCUCUUGGAAAGCGCGACUUCUCCCUUUGCUCCUGGAAUGUGACCUGUAUAACCGACAAUUGGCGG
rnacentral:misc_RNA from 1 species